AGAAUGUGAAAAGAAGAGGUAAGCAAAGAUAAUAGCUGUAGAUAGAGAUACACAAGUGACGAGAAUUAGAGGUGUGAAAAUUACGGAAGAGAAAGGUGGUUUUGGGGGAAUAGAUGUGGAACAGUCAUCUGUGUCAAAAGAAAGCAAUGAAGUGGAGGAAAUGGGUGGGUCUUCGUCCUCCUCCUUUGUGGGUACAGCCAUAGGCUUGAAGGAGAUCGAAUCCGAAUUCAUCAUCCACAGGUAUAUUUCAGAGCAUUGAAAAUUGCAAUCAAAAUACAGAGAAUUGAAAGGGUGUAGCCAGGUUGUAUCGAAAAUUGAUCAAAACAAUUCCUUCGUCAACAGUUGAUCUAUAUACUGGAAAAUGGAACGAUGGAUUAGUUGAAAGACAGACGGAAUUACCAAUUCAGAUGCUGGACUUCUACCCAAAGAUCAAUUUCGUGCUCAGAUUCCUAUUUGCCUAUAACGAUAUGUCUUAUAUCUGUUUGCUUAAAUUUCUAAAACUUAUUUUGAAAUAUGUGUUUUUGGCAAGUACUAAUUUGUAUUUGGUCCAAUAAUUUAAAAAAUAUAUUGAUAAUGUGAUUCGUCUUUGACUAAUAUAUUUUUAAAAAAUGCCUUUUAGAGAAAAAACUACUUCCUUCCUACUAUUUUAUUUGUACACAAUUUUAGAAAAUGUUCCAAAAUAUUUUGACCAACCAAACGUGAGGAAAUUGGAAAUACCAAAACACUCUUAGUGAUCCAAAAUUAUCAUUCCUCACCUCCAUAGUGCCUGUAAUAACAUCUGUUUAGCCAAGGAAGUAGAGCAACUAACAGACACGGAACAAAACACAAAGAACAUUUUUCAUAUCCAAUCAAGAAAGAAAAAUGUGAAAUAAUUAUCAAACUCUACAAGUUCACAAACACCGAAAGGUCUAUCUUGCCAAAGAAACAACCUAUCGUGAUAGUCAAGAAGAAGAAGAAGUGAGCAUGUUUGUACACCAACAGCAGGCAAUUUCGGUUUGGCUAUGCUUUAUGAAAACAACUUUGAGAUCAAGUAUGACAUUAACAUGUAUCUCCAAAAAGUUCUGCAACAAAGAGAAACAAUCGAAGGUAGAUUUUCAACCGCAAGUCCAAACAUAUAAAGAUAUAUUAUUAUCAUGAAAAAAAAUGCACCAAUAACAACAAUUACCAUCAGAGGCUACUGCCUUGAUGAUGCAACAAAGGGAACAACAAAAAUGACAACAUAAACUAGAUAUAAGUUUAACAAGCUCAACCCUUGAUCAAGAGCACGGGCUAUGGUGUCAAUGACCUUAAUGUUCUUACUACCAAUCAUACAUGGCAAACAGAUACUUGACUUUUGGUUUUUCUAUUCUACUCCCCAAGUUCUUCCCUCGUCAAUAUAAUAAGGGGACGCAGGAGAUUGUACAAUUCUUGAAUCCACAAAUAUAAGGAGAUGAUAGAUAACAUAAUACAUGCCAGGAAAAUGGAGUAAAAGGUAGAAUAUGGAUACGGUCAACAAAUAUAUUGAACAUUAUUCAUUUUCUAUCUAAUUUACUAAUCUUAAAAUAAGCCAGCAACAAAAUAGAAGUUGCAACACCUAAUAGACUAUAAAUCUGGACGCCGACAAAAGUGAAGUGAUGCCACGAGGUACAGAGGUGCAUAACCUACAGCACUAGAUCAUCACCUUGAAUCAACUUGACAAUAUUUUGUAAUUGUUAAGAGAAGCAUAUAAAAAUCAUAUGAUGAUCUCUCACCUCUGGUAGCAUAGAGAAUAUAUUCAUAACUAGCUAUAACUCAGUGGCUGGGUAAGAGAAUCGUGUCUGGAAAUGAUGUUGUCCCGUUAUUGGAUGCUCCUUGUAAAUUAAGGAUUUUGGUAACCAGGUUGUAAAUCUGAACAUUCUCAAAAGAUGGGACUUUACGGCCACUAGCAAACUUAGGACCAUGGCCAAUGAAAAUGGUCCUCAUUGAGAAGAAUGCAUUGUCAUAACCAUGAGAUCCACCACAUUCAAACCUUUUUAAGCUCUUCUGUUCGACCUUAAAUGCUUCAUCAAUCAACCCAAUGAUGGGUGGUAUUCGAUCACUCGCAGAAUAAUGCAGCCGAUCAGGCAGUUCCUCCUUUAGAUAGACUUUCAAAUACUGCCCAUUGUUAACCUUCCCUGACUUUAAGCCCUCAUUCAUCUUGGUAACGACAUCCUUGGCAGAGUAACUUGGUGGUGGACGAAUGGAAAGCAAUGGACUAUAUGACUGUAUCCAAUCCUUUGGAAUUUCAAUCCAUGGAGCCAAAUCCUCCAAGAAAAUUAACUUUCUAUCGCAGGUGCCAACCAUACCAUGAUCACCAACCAUUAUAAUAUUCACAUCCUCAAAAACCCCUCUUGCUUCUAAACCUUGGAUCAACUUCCCAAUCAUCCCAUCAACUCUUGCAAUGGCUUCAGUGAUUUGAGGAUCAUCAGGUCCAACUUUGUGACCCUGAUGAUCAGGGUCUUCAAAAUAGAGUGUCAUAAACGACGGAAUUUCAUCAUUUGGCAAAUCAAAAUAUUUCAAAACAGUAUCAACUCGUUCUUCAAAUGGCACAGAACCAUUAUACCUCUUACAAAGAGACUCUGGACAAGUCCAGCCUCCUUUAUUUACCUCAGAUCCAGGCCAGAAAUAAGUAGCAGCCUUAAGACCAUGAUUGACUACAGUCUCCCAAAGCGGCUCACCGAGCCACCACUUAGGAUCAUGACUCCCCAUAUUGAAAUGCUCUCCAGUAAUCGGAUCAAGGAAAUAGUUAUUUAUAAUACCAUGAUAAGCAGGGUACAAACCGGUAACAAUAGCAUAAUGAUUAGGAAAAGUCAAAGUUGGGAAUACAGGAAUUAAACCCAGUUCAGCUUCUGUCCCAUUCCUAAUCAACCUAUCCAUAUUUGGGGUAUCCGUCUUGUACUGAUACCCAAAGCGAAACCCAUCAGAUGAAAUCAAGAGAACAACAGGAUGUUUGAGUUUUUGAAGUGGGCGAGAUACAUGCGAAAUAGAGGAGAUAGAAGAAUGUGAAAAGAAGAGGAAAGCAAAGGUAAUAGCUGUAGAUAGAGAUACACAAGUGGCGAGAAUCAGAGCAGUGAAAAUUACCGAAUUGAAAGGAAUUUUUGUAGGAGACGAUGGGGAACAGUCAUCUGUGUCAAAAGAAAGCAAUGAAGUGGAGGAAAUAGGUGGGUCUUCAUCCUCUUUUGUUGGCACAGCCAUAGGCUUGAAGGAGACUGAAU
rnacentral:lncRNA from 1 species